UGUUGUGUAUAGUGAUAGCUGAUAACAUUACUCGCGGAUUAGGAAUGAUGUUUGUUGUGUCAUAAUCACGAGCGAAGCGGUUGUUGCUUGGAGGCCCAGAGAAAGCUGAAAGCUUAACAAAAGGAGCGAUAUAGUGAUUGAUUUGCUGUAUUAGUUGUGUUAUGGUGGUUCACUUCAGAUGUAACAUAACAACCUUUUGUUGUAUGCUAUGUUACAGUUUUUAAUUAUGGAACAACCUUCGUAAAAAUGUGUACAUCAAUCAUUAUCUUUAAACCAAAAAAAAAAAAAAAAAAAAAAAAUCGAACUUAG
rnacentral:lncRNA from 1 species